rnacentral:tRNA from 1 species
AGUAAAAUGGCUGAAUUUAAGGCGAUAAAUUGUAAAUUUAUUUAUAAAUGAGAAAUUUUUUUACUA